GUACUUUAGUUUGAUGGUUAUUUUUUAGUGACAUGGUGGUAGUGAUGAUUUUAGAGAAUGGUUUAUGUGGAGAAGAGGAUUAGAAGAGAAAGAUGGGGUAUGAGAAGUGUGAACUAUAUGGGUAAAAGGGCCUUUAUGGUUUAGUCAUAAUAUGGUUUUAUAUAGAUGGAAAAUGAGUUGGGAUUCUCUCCAUUAACGGAGAGUGAAAUAAUAAUUUUACACUUAGUUUUAAGUAUAAAAAUGUUAUUAUAAGUGUAAAUAGAAUAAUAUAAUUUUUUUUAUUUAUUUUGUCUUGUUUUAUACAUCACUUUUUUCUCUAUUAAUGGAGAUGAUAAGUACUCGUGAGAUAGAGUUGGUUAUUUUGUAUCAUUAAAUUUUUGACAAACUAUUUACAUGGUUAAAUUUGAUACUUGGACAGAGCAUGUUACAUGAGUUCAUAUCCUUUUUCAUUUUAUAUAAAGGAAUUCAGUACUUAAAUAGUUUAUUAUGUUUUAUAAAAAUAUGAAAAUAAUGGCAUGCUAAAUGUCUAAUUGGUAUUUAAAAAUCAUUAUUAGGAGGAAAAUAGAGUGACGGAGAAAUACUCUAAUGAGCUUUCUAGGAGGUGGAGAAAUUUCAUGUGGGUGGUGUAUGCUGUAUCCCCACCAUGCAUACACUUCCAUGAAAACUCACCGAUAUAGAUCGUCUGUCCCAAAAUGAUAUUUUUAACCCUGUCCCAAUCAAUUAGAGAUUAGAAAUGAAAAAUCACAUGAAUAAAUAUUUUUUAGUGAAGAGUAAUGUAUAUUUUUAAAUAAUAUGGCACAAUGCUAUUGACUGAGAUAGAGUCGGGGACACCAUUUUGGACAAGUGAUCUCCAUCCAAACUCAAUAUUUAACUUUUGAUGGUUAAGUUU